rnacentral:rRNA from 1 species
GGAUUAGAUACCCUGGUAGUCCACGCCGUAAACGAUGUCUACUAGUUGUCGGUUGUCUUGUACGACGGGUAACGCAGCUAACGCGAUAAGUAGACCGCCUGGGGAGUACGGCCGCAAGGUUAAAACUCAAAUGAAUUGACGGGGGCCCGCACAAGCGGUGGAGCAUGUGGUUUAAUUCGAAGCAACGCGAAGAACCUUACCUGGCCUUGACAUCCUGCGAACUUGGUAGAGAUACCUUGGUGCCUUCGGGAACGCAGAGACAGGUGCUGCAUGGCUGUCGUCAGCUCGUGCCG